GGGGAAAAUUAAAAAUUUAAAUUUAAUAAAAAAAAUUUUAAUAUUAAAAAGAAAAAUGGGGGUUUAAGUAUUUUUAAUAGAAAAAAUUAAUAUUUUUAUAGUUAAAUAUUACUGUAAAGGAAUUUAUAAAUAAUUGAAAUAAAAUUAAUAAUAAAGUAAAUUUAAUUUAUUGUAUCUUGUGUAUCAGAGUUUAUUAAAUAAUAAUAAUUUAUUUAAAUAAAUCUCGAAUUUAAAAGAGUUAAUUAAUUAAUAAAGUUAAUGUUGAAUAAUUAUUUUUAAUAAUUAAUUAGAAAUGAAAUGUUAAUCGUUUUUAAAUAUAUCUAGUUUUUUUAGAAAAAAAUUUAAUUUAAAAUUUAAAUAAUUUUAUAAUUAAUUAAUUAAUUAUAAAAAUUUAAAAUUUAAUAUUUUAGGGGAUAAGCUUUAAAUUAAAAAUUUAUAAUUAAAUUAAAUAAAAAUUAAAAUUUUUAAAAUUUAUAUUGUUUAAAAAUUAUAAUUUAUUAUAAAAAAUUUUAUUUUAAAUAAAAUUUAAAAUAAGAAAAUUUAAAUUUUUAUAAAAAAAUAAUUUAUAAUUUAAUAAAAUUAGAAAUAAUGAUAAAAUUAGUAUAAUAUAAAAAAUAAAAUAAAAUUUAUAAUUAAGUAAAUUAAAGGAAUUCGGCAAAAAUUUAUAUUCACUUGUUUAUCAAAAACAUGUCUUUUUGAUAAUAAUUUAAAGUCUAAUCUGCCCACUGAUAUAAUAAUUAAAGGGCUGCAGUAUAUUGACUGUACAAAGGUAGCAUAAUCAUUAGUCUUUUAAUUGAAGACUUGUAUGAAAGAUUUGAUGAAAUAUAAACUGUCUCUAAUUUAUGUUUAGAAAUUAAUUUUUUAGUUAAAAAGCUAAAAUAAUAUUAAAAGACGAGAAGACCCUAUAGAGUUUUAUAUUUUAUUUAUUUAAUAUUAAAUAUAUAAAUUAAAUAUAUUAAUUAAAUAAAAUAUUAUAUUGGGGUGAUAGAAAAAUUUAAUAAACUUUUUUUUUGAUUAAACAUAAAUAAGUGAGUAAUUGAUCCAUUAGUAAUGAUUAAAAGAAAAAAUUACCUUAGGGAUAACAGCGUAAUAUUUUUUUUUAGUACAAAUAAAAAAAAAAGUUUGCGACCUCGAUGUUGGAUUAAGAUAAAAUUUAAAUGCAAAAGUUUAAAAUUUUGAUCUGUUCGAUCAUUAAAAUCUUACAUGAUCUGAGUUCAAACCGGUGUAAGCCAGGUUGGUUUCUAUCUUUAAAGAAAAAAAAUAUUUUAGUACGAAAGGAUCAAAUAUUUAAAAUAGUUUUAAUUAAAAUGAAUAUUAAUAAUAUAAUAUAU
rnacentral:rRNA from 1 species